AUGAACGCUAGCUACAGGCUUAACACAUGCAAGUCGAGGGGCAGCGGGAUUGAAGCUUGCUUCAAUUGCCGGCGACCGGCGCACGGGUGAGUAACGCGUAUCCAACCUUCCGCUUACUCGGGGAUAGCCUUUCGAAAGAAAGAUUAAUACCCGAUGGUAUCUUAAGCACGCAUGAGAUUAAGAUUAAAGAUUUAUCGGUAAGCGAUGGGGAUGCGUUCCAUUAGGCAGUUGGCGGGGUAACGGCCCACCAAACCUACGAUGGAUAGGGGUUCUGAGAGGAAGGUCCCCCACAUUGGAACUGAGACACGGUCCAAACUCCUACGGGAGGCAGCAGUGAGGAAUAUUGGUCAAUGGGCGAGAGCCUGAACCAGCCAAGUAGCGUGAAGGAUGACGGCCCUACGGGUUGUAAACUUCUUUUGUGCGGGAAUAAAGGAACCUACGUGUAGGUUUUUGCAUGUACCGUAACGAAUAAGCAUCGGCUAACUCCGUGCCAGCAGCCGCGGUAAUACGGAGGAUGCGAGCGUUAUCCGGAUUUAUUGGGUUUAAAGGGAGCGUAGACGGGUUUUUAAGUCAGCUGUGAAAGUUUGGGGCUCAACCUUAAAAUUGCAGUUGAAACUGGAGACCUUGAGUACGGUUGAGGCAGGCGGAAUUCGUGGUGUAGCGGUGAAAUGCUUAGAUAUCACGAAGAACCCCGAUUGCGAAGGCAGCCUGCUAAGCCGCCACUGACGUUGAGGCUCGAAAGUGCGGGUAUCAAACAGGAUUAGAUACCCUGGUAGUCCGCACGGUAAACGAUGGAUACUCGCUGUUGGCGAUAGACAGUCAGCGGCCAAGCGAAAGCGUUAAGUAUCCCACCUGGGGAGUACGCCGGCAACGGUGAAACUCAAAGGAAUUGACGGGGGCCCGCACAAGCGGUGGAGCAUGUGGUUUAAUUCGAAGCAACGCGAAGAACCUUACCAGGCCUUGACAUCCUUUGACCACUCUAGAGAUAGAGCUUCCCCUUCGGGGGCAAAGUGACAGGUGGUGCAUGGUUGUCGUCAGCUCGUGCCGUGAGGUGUCGGCUUAAGUGCCAUAACGAGCGCAACCCUUGCUGCCAGUUACUAACAGGUCAUGCUGAGGACUCUGGCAGGACUGCCAUCGUAAGAUGCGAGGAAGGUGGGGAUGACGUCAAAUCAGCACGGCCCUUACGUCCGGGGCUACACACGUGUUACAAUGGGGAGUACAGAGGGCAGCUACCGGGCGACCGGAUGCGAAUCCCGAAAGCUCCUCUCAGUUCGGACUGGAGUCUGCAACCCGACUCCACGAAGCUGGAUUCGCUAGUAAUCGCGCAUCAGCCACGGCGCGGUGAGUACGUUCCCGGGCCUUGUACACACCGCCCGUCAAGCCAUGAAAGCCGGGGGUACCUGAAGUACGUAACCGCGAGGAUCGUCCUAGGGUAAAACUGGUGAUUGGGGCU
rnacentral:rRNA from 1 species